GGCAGGCCGAGGACACUGGAGGAAUUCAUUCGAAACAUUUAGAACCGGUCUAGCAAACAGCAAGUGCUCAGUAAAUGCAAUCAAACUUCCUACUUAGGAAGUCCUUUGGCUUUCCCCAAUGGAGGUGAGGUAGGGCCAGGAUUUGAUGGCCUCCCUGAGGGAAGCCAUAGAUGUAAAGAUUCUUGCCUCCAGACCCGAUGACCUGAGUUUGAGCUCCAGGAUCCACAAGGCAGAACGAGAGACCGACUCGUAAGUUGUCUUCUGACUUCCACACUCACACAAUGCCAGGGUCCUACUCUGCAGCCGAGGCUGGGAUUGAACCUAUUAUCCUCUUUUCUCUGCCUCCCAAGUGUUUGUGUUACAUGAAUCACCAUGCCACAAGAUUUUGAAGACAAGCUGAGAGUGGGGGCAUGUAACUUUUGUUGUAGCACUUGAUCUUCAGAGACAGGUGAACCUCUGUGAAUUCAAGGAUAGCCUGGUCUACAUAAUGAAUUGUACUUCAGCUAGGGGUCCAUACUGAGACUCUGUCUCAAAGAAGAAUUUAAAAAUUAUUUAUUCAUGUAUUUGAUGUAUAUGGGUGUUUUGUCUGCAUGUCUUCACACCAGAAGAGAACACCAGAUCCCAUGAGACUACAGUUACAGUUGUGAGUAUCCAUGUGGAUGCUGGGAAUUGAACUUAGAACUUUAGAAACCAGCAGCCAGUGCUCUUAACUGCUGAGCUAGUCCCUUCAGCCCCAGAAAAAAAGAUAUUUAAGUUGAGUAUUACAUAGCAUCUGCAACUGGGCCCUGUUUGUUUUUUGGUAUGAUGAGGUUAAAUGACACUUGAUAAAUCUGUGGAAAAAUAAAAGACUAUUUUUGAGACCUCUA